CAACAAGCUGCAGACUCCUGAACCCUGCACUGCCCUCUCCACAGGUGUAACUCCCUGGGGGUUCCCCUGAUGCACCCCUACCUGCAGGCUGGAUUGUGCAUGGAGCAUGGGUGAACUCACAGACACCAGGAGCCUCAAGAUGGACCCAGGCCUGGGACGAGAAGUCAGGCUGCUGCCUGGCCUUCCAGUGGACCACCGAGGCACCCCUGUGCAGGUAGGAGGCCAGGGCAUUCCAGGUCACGGUCUUUUCUCUUGUAUCCUUGCCCAAGUCUGAAGUCAUUAGGGAUGCACCUGCUGCUAUUUGACACUGCUCAGGGAAGUGUUCCUGAGGGGGAAAGCUGGUGUUUACCCCACUUUCUACCCAAGGAAAUCUGCUAGAGCCUAUGGUUCACGAAUGAGCUGAGCACCGGCCUCCAUGCCUCCGGGUUCCUGUGUGACCCCAUCCCCGGGCGGCUGUUAGUGAGCUUGACCUCAGUCUGAGAAGUGGCUCCUGCAUGAUCCAAGCUCCUGGGCUUCUCCUUGGGCUCAGCUUCGGGCUGUUCCUGUCGAUUCCCCACCUGCACCAGGGCAGUGCAGGGAAGGUACACAGGGAAGGUACACAGACGGUGGCCAAGGACUCCAUUGAGUUAAAGGCCCUUGUAAUGGCCACCGAGUAGGAUGUAAAAAAUGUUACUUUAUUACGAUUGUUGCCACUGUUAGGCAUGUAUUACAGUGUUUUUCUUCUUGAAAUACUGUAGCUAGAAGCUGGUGUGAGGUUGCUCUUAGGACGUACAACAAAGAGCUGCCACAAAUCAAAGGAGUAUUUAGAAGAUGCUUUUGCACAGGAGGACAGGGGAGUGAACGGCGCCAAUUUGCCAGCUCCGCUCCUGCAGAACAAGAAGUGAAAUACUAUCAUGAGCAGCAGGGCGUGGGUACAACCUCAAUUACACAACUCAGCCUUCUCAGAGACACUUUUUAUAAUACGUUCUUAGGGAAAAAGUCAUCUACCAUCUAAUUCAAUCCACAGUUAGAAAUGGAUGUGUACAUUUUAGGUGAACUCAGAACAAAAAGAAUAGGGGAGUGGGGGGAAAGUUUUCUUUGCAAUGUUUUAAGAAUAAGAGAAACCCCAGGACCCAGGCCAGGAGCCGUGUCUCCCUGUGGUCCCGUGCACCCUGCUGCACAACCAUCAGCGUGGUUCGUGGGACGCACGGUAUCGGAAGGCUCCUAAGUGAAAACAUCCGAACCUGGGGAACCCGAUCCAGGUCACCGGGGCUCCAUUUCCAGAAAGGCACUGAAAGACAUCAUUGUUGGUUCCCGGGGACCAGUGAAUUGAGUUUCCAUUUGGUAAUUACAAGCAGAUCCAGCGUUUGAGGUUUCUAUAAGCAGAACAAGCUCUAGUAUGGUGGAACCAGGGCUGCAUCCGCCAAUUCCCCGGAGAGGAGGGCACGCUGCACUCUGAGCUGGUUUUCUGCUAUUCCACGGUCCAGGGUAAGUUUUUUUCCCCUUUACCGUGUCACAGUGAUCAUUAUUGCUCCCAUGUUGAUUUGGUCUAGUGGGACAUUGUUCACCAUAACGACCGAAAAUACGGGGGAAAAGAGACUCACGUUAUCUUGUUCCACAGUCUGGCUCAUCUGCAUUUUUGAGCAUUCCUGACCCUGAAAAAUACAGGACACCCUCAAGAAAUGGAAGCGUUGUCUUGCUGGAUUGGAAAUAGUGGACGAGACACUGCGUGUGCCUGCUCUUCCCUGGCCAUCAGAACUGUGCCAUCUCAAGUAGACUCUCAGACCAUCCGUUGACCAGACGGGAUUCAGAGUGAAAAUAAAUCGGGGACAAAGGUACAUUGGGGGCUUUCUACACAGCAGCAGAAUAAAAGAACCAUGAGGACUUGCCACAAAAUGGGUGAAUCUCAGACAUUCUACUGAUGGGAGCAGCCAGGUCUACAAACUGAUGGACUCGUUCCAUGAAGUUCGAGGACAGGCAAAACCGAUCUGUGGUGCUGAACUUGGACAUUUCAGGGGUCAGAGGUUAGACUCAUAGGAGAAAGGGCAUGAAGGAAACUUGGAGAGUCUGGACACGUCCUCCAGCUCGAUCCAGGCCCAUCCAUUGGUAAAACAAUGAUCAGCCUGCAUCACCCCAAUGAGUGCAGCAGCUGGGAUGGGGCCAGGCCACAGCCAGGAGCCAGGAGCUCCAGCCAGAUCUCCCGUGUGGGUGGCAGGGGCCCAAGCACUUGGGUCAUCGUCCUUUGUUUUCCCAGACACACUGGCAGGGAGCAGGAUCAGAAGUGGCACAGUUGGGACGCAUAUGGGAUGCCAGCAUUGCAGUCAGUGGCUUAACCUGCUAUGCCAAAAUGCUGGCUCCUCUCUUUUGUUUCCCAUCUCCAUAUCUCAAACAGAAGGUGAAGGGAGAUUCCAGAACCAUUUGAGAUGAUCAGCGAGCAAACUGGAUUCAACCCUUCUUUGACUUCCUUGAGUGAGUGAGUGUACACAGUUCUUAGGACGGCUCAGGAAUUGUUCAGCUUACCAAUGGCGUGAGGAUGGGCUGUACUUAGUAGAAAUUACAUUGGCAGGUUUGAUCUCUUCCCCGGCUAGUGACACACAGCUGAUAUUGGGCAGGUGCCGGGUGCCCGGCAGCCACAGGGCCAUGAGCAUGGAGCCCGUAUUCUACAGUGUGCUGCCCUGCUGGUCCCCCAGGUGGGGUAUAUGCGCUGUGUAUAAACACUUUUGGCUUCUGAUGGUUCCAUUGUAAGUGGAAGAGUAUCUUAAUAUGUCACUUGAAGGUUUAUAAGGCCUGCCCAUGUUUAUUACCUCAUUUGAUCAUGAUAACAACCCUAAGAAAUACACAUUUGGCCAGCACCGUGGCUCACUAGGCUAAUCCUCCGCCUAGCGGCGCCGGCACACCGGGUUCUAGUCCCGGUUGGGGCACCGGAUUCUGUCUCGGUUGCUCCUCUUCCAGGCCAGCUCUCUGCUGUGGCCUGGGAAGGCAGUGGAGGAUGGCCCAGGUGCUUGGGCCCUGCACCCGCAUGGGAGACCAGGAGAAGCUCCUGGCUCCUGGCUUUGGAUGGGCGCAGUGCGCCGGCCAUAGUGGCCAUUUGGGGAGUGAACCAACGGAAAAGGAAGACCUAUCUCUGUCUCUCUGUCUAACUCUGCCUGUCAAAAAAAAAGAAAAAGAAAUACACAUCCAUAUAUAUAGAAACAUAUUUAAGCUGAGAAAAUUUAAAUGACUUGACAAAACCAGUAAGUGGGACAGCCCUGUUAGCCCUGUUUGCACGCAGGUGGAUGCGUAGACCUGGCCUAGCCCCAUAGCCACUGUUGUCACUGGGGGAGGGGACAGCGGGAGCUGUCUGUGAAAUCUCUCUGCCCAUCCAAUAAUUUUUUAAAUGUUUUAAAAAAUUAAUAUAAACCCAAGUUUAUGAUCAAAUUCAGGAAACACAUGAACAAUUCGGAAAAACAAAAUUUACAUCUUCAUUUUGAUAGCUGCCAACUGAGCAUUUCUGUGAAUUUUCAAUGAAUGGGACACACCUCAGCUGUACUCAGAGUGCCUGUGAGUUUGCCAUGCGUGGACAGGAUGUAUUUUCACAGCACCGUACAGGUAACAAGAUGCCUUGAGCUUUCCGUUCUGCCCACGAUGACUUUAAGCUCACAUUCAGGCUUCCUUCCCACCCGCGCUCACAGGAAGUCUCGGGGAAUGGGCACACUGCUCAGCAGGAGGUGGAGACAAGGGCUCCCAGGCUGGUUCUUUCCAGCUGGCACCAUCUGUGCUUGGAAGGAGGUAAACUAAUGACCGCCCGACCUCAUGUCUCACUGCAGCCUUCACACCAGCUCUGUAAAAUGAAACAAUUUUAACUUUCUUACUUAAAAUCUAUUACUAGUUUAUUGCCUGGUGACUUGAUGCAUUAAAGGAGCACACACUUGAGUAAGAUAGCUUACCUUUCUAGCUGCAUUGCAUCACAGUGAGUUGCUUUUGUAGUAAUAUGCAUUUCGUUGUGUGCAUUCACACUUCUCCAGGAAGCAAGCAUCCGUAAGCCGCCCCGGUCUGCCCAUGGAGCCUAUGGUCCAGCAAACGUAACAGCCUGUGCUUACUACUGUGUGCACAUUUAACCGUGUUUCUGAACAGCAUACAAAUUUAGGAAAACCUUGUGCAUUCUUGAUCUGUGCCACGGAUUUUCUCCAGGUAUUGCCUUAAACACCAGAUGAUAUGUUUUCCCUUUGUUGUUUUGGCCAUGUCUCCACAAUACAAUGCUCAUCCCAGGGCAAGCAAGAUCUAUGUUGUGUCGUUGCUCCCUGUAGCUAGAAGUGUGGCCACUAAAGGGUUGGAGUCCCAUGUUUCUGAGUGUCUCUUGGUUGUGCUCACUAAGUAGAAGCAGCGAACUCUGUUUCCUUAAGGCUCCUGGAAGAGCUUAAGGUUGCUGUGCUAGUCCUGAGUGCCUACCACAGCCCGGCAGUUGUUCAUCAGCACAAGGCUGUCAGCAGCAGGUGCAGAGAAACUUGGCAUCUGAACUGACCAGGUGCUCCAAGCUGAUGCUCCAUCACCGCACUGUGGAGACGCGGGAUUCGGUCAGGUCUGUAUCCCUGCCAGCUCUCAGGUGUCGAAUGCAACAGGUAAUAACGACGAUGUUCUGCAUCCUGUAACGUGAAGCAACGCAAACCGCUCUGUUUUCAAAUGAAGCAAGUGUAGCCUCAAUUAUGUACACAGUGACAAUGACAGCAGGAGUGGCUCAGUUGCUCAUGUAAAAAAGGCUAAAAAUAAAGGCAGCAGGAUAAGCAGCAGGUGCCAGAGCGCCCAGUUCCACAUUUCUUCUCCAUAUAUUGAAUUAAAACACAGUUACAAGUACUGGACGCUUGCGAAUGAUUAAAAUACUUGAAAAGUGAAAUGCUGCCAUAAAAAUAAAAAUAAAACCAAGUGUCCUGCCAAAGCCAGCACUUAAUUAUUCCCAUACUUUCCAUGCUAAUGAAGUGUGCUGGUUUUAAAAGGGUGGGGCUUGAAGCCUCCCUGAACACGUUUUUUAACCUCUUCUGCUCAGUUCUCGUGCUGUAAAUUAAGCACAACAGGAGUGAUUACGUUCCUCUUGCAACACAGGGAGUGGCAAGCACUCACUGUUACACACUGUAAGCCACUCACGCCGUAAGAAAUGGCAGACAACCUGCAUGGGUAAAUUUCAGCAUCCAGUGUUCGCACGUUGAGAUCUGCCGCGGAGCGACUCUGUGAGCUGAGGAGGAUUCUCAUGCGUGGGUCCUGGGGGGUGGCUGGCUAAUGGCUGCUCGUGGAUGGUUCAGCUCUGUGCCACAUGGAUCUCACCACCCAGGUGAGUGAAACACAUCAUUGAGACCGCAGAAACAUGCUAACAUCUUGCGAAGGUUGCUGGUAUCCUCUACAUCCUACAGCUCAAAGAAAGCCAUAUCCUAAGCCUCUGGGAAAAGUGCUUCGCCUCCAGAGGACAAGGACUGCAAAGUUCCAUGGGAAACAGCAUGGACCCAGGGAGAGGGCGAGAACUGAGACCAUGAGCACUCUCAGCUGCCGCACCAUCACUUGAUUUUUACUCGUCAUGAAAGAGUCAUGGUGGCUGGCUGACGCUCGUCUCUCCAAGGCACCACCGUCCCUGGUGCGUCCAGGUGAACGUUACUCAAGGUGUUGAUCUUCAGUCCAUGACACUUAGCAUGUUUUUGCUGGAAAUCAUUAAGUGAUGGUUUCCCAUGGUCUUUUGUGAAACAAGUAAGUGAUAAACAUGCUAAUCUGUGCAGUAUUCACAGAAAGAUAAUGCUAUGUCCCCAUUUUAGUUGAUUCUUGACAGUUUUGAAUGCCCCAAGCUUUCCAUGAUUUCAAGUCAUUCCCACAGUCGUCUGAUUGUUGAAUGGGAUUUUAUGAGUGACUUUAUAAGUUAACUUAGCAAAAUGCAGGUGCAGUAAUACAACGGCAUUUUUGAAUCUGGUAGAGGUAUAACCCAUAAUUUUUUAUGAACUCAGCCUGGCUCCUGAUGUUCUAGUUUCUCAAUAACAAUUGACUUUUACUUGCUAUUUAAUAAACGGUUUUACUGAGAUAUAUUUACAUACUAUAGAGUUCACCUUUUUCAAGGGUACAAUUAAAUGGUUUUUAGUAUACUUGCAGAAUUAGGCAACCACCACCACAGUCUGUCUUUAGAACAUUGUUAUCAUCCCCACAAAAAAAAAUCUUUAACCUUUGAGUAGGUACUCAACACUCCCUGCCCCCUUCUCCUCUCCUCUCCCCUCCUCAGAGCUCCAGGAACACUGCUCUACGGUCUCUCUAGAUCUGCCUAUUCCAGACACUUUGUACAAAUUACGUUGUACAACAUGUGUUCUGAGAUGGACUUCUUUCACUCCAUGUUUUUGAGGUUCCUUCACAUUGUAACUUCAAUUAUGUUCACUGUUGAUUAAUCACCACAUCUUAUGUAUCCAUUUAUCAGGUGCUGAACAUGUGUGUUGUUUCCACACUUUAGCUGUUAUGAAUAAUACUGCUGAGAACAUCAGUGCACACAUUUUAAUGUGAGUGUGUGUUUUUGUGUCUCAGGUAAAUAACUUAGGGUGGGGUUUUGCUCAGUCAGUCCACAUCAAGCAUCUCCACACAUUGUCAAGUUAGGUUUUGAAGUGGCUGAACCGUUCUGUUUUCCUACUAGAAAUAUAGGAGAACCAGAAUUUCUCAACAUCCUUGACAGCAUUUGUUACUGCCUCUUUUCCAUUAUAGCUACUCUGGGUAUGAAGUGGUAUCCUGUGGUUUCAGUUAGCAUUUUCCUAAUGACUAAUGAUGUUGAGCAUCUUUUCAUGUGGUAAUUAGCUGUUCAUAUAUCUUCCUUACAGAAAUGUUUAUUCAAAUCCUGCGUACAGUUAAGAGAAUGGUUUUCUUUAUUGUUGACUUUUAAGAGUUGUUCUUAGAUCCUAACCACAAGUCCCUUAAAGAGAGUGAUGAUUUGCAAAUAACUUCCUCCAUUCUGCUGGUUGUCUUUUACUUACUCGGCUAUGUUCUUUGGAGCACAAACGUUUUUAAUUUGGGUGAAGUCUAAAUAUCAAAAUCUUUAACUUUAAAAAAGUUAGUUGGCAAAUGAAAAUUGUAUAUUUCCAGGGUAUACAACGAGAUACUCUUACACAUUGAUACAUUGUAUAAUGAUUACCAUAGUCUAAUUGAUUAUAUUCAUCACUACCUAGUUGCCAUUGUGUGUGUGAGAGAGUACAUGUGUGUAUGAAGACAAUUAAUAUCUUCUCUCUCAUCAAAUUCCAUGCAAAUAUUAGUAACUAGAGGAACCAUGUUGUAUAUUAUGUGCCUCAUAUAUCAUUGGUAGAAAUGUAAAUUAGAGCAGCCGUUAUGGAAAACAGUAAGAAAAUUCCUCAAAAAGAUAAAAAAAAUCCCUUGUUAGCCAACAGUCCUCCUCCUGAGAAUGUUUACAAAGUGUCUCAAAGGGAUAUGUGCACCCCCUGCUCACAGCAGCAUCGCUCAAAGUAGCCAAGACGUGGACACAAUCUAAGUGUCGAUCAGUGGAUGAGCGGAGAAAGAAAGUGCUUUUAUCCUGUUUAUGCAGUAGAGUGGCAUUCAACCACAGCAACAAAGAAACCCUGCUCAUUAUAAAAACUUAGAUAGAACUGGAAAACACUAUGUUAAGCAAAAUAAGCUAGACACAGAAAGACAAUCACUGUUUGAGCUCAGUUCUAGGGGGAAAUCUUUAGAAAAGUGGAAGUAGA